GGCGGUGUAGCUCAGCUGGCUAGAGCAUACGGUUCAUACCCGUAGAGUCGGGGGUUCGAUCCCCUCCGCCGCUACCA
rnacentral:tRNA from 1 species